rnacentral:rRNA from 1 species
UUGAACGCUGGCGGCAUGCCUUACACAUGCAAGUCGAACGGUAACGCGGGGCAACCUGGCGACGAGUGGCGAACGGGUGAGUAAUACAUCGGAACGUGCCCAGUAGUGGGGGAUAGCCCGGCGAAAGCCGGAUUAAUACCGCAUACGACCUACGGGUGAAAGCGGGGGAUCGAAAGACCUCGCGCUAUUGGAGCGGCCGAUGUCAGAUUAGGUAGUUGAUGGGGUAAAGGCCUACCAAGCCGACGAUCUGUAGCUGGUCUGAGAGGACGACCAGCCACACUGGGACUGAGACACGGCUCAGACUCCUACGGGGGGCAGCAGUGGGGAAUUUUGGACAAUGGGGGCAACCCUGAUCCAGCCAUGCCGCGUGCGGGAAGAAGGCCUUCGGGUUGUAAACCGCCUUUGUCAGGGAAGAAACGCACUGAGCUAAUACCUCGGUGUAAUGACGGUACCUGAAGAAUAAGCACCGGCUAACUACGU